GGUUAUUUUGGCGGAGGUACUACAUUGCUGAUCACGAAAAUUAGGAGAACACACAUCAUAAAGUGCUGCGGGAAAAAUACAUGCUAUUCAAAAACAUUGAAUAAAACCCACCAAGCCAGGGGUACGCCUGUUACAUAUACACCAGUGAGUUCAACGAAGGAAACUGAAAAAGAAACGACAUUAUCUAACCUGGUGACAACAGACGGUCUGGAGCAAUAUGAAACGAGCUUUUUUGAGUUAACGGAGCAGUCCACAUCUUCAAUCCAAAUACCAUCUACAAAAACCAUGCUUACUGCAACAGCUCCUCCAACAGAAGCUUCAAGUAAAUCUUCAAUGAGUACUUCAGUGGCUUAUUCUGUGACUCAGACAAAUUUUGAUCUGCUCACAAUUUCGACAACUUCUGAAAUUACC